AGUUUUAUAUUGUGUCAAGAGUAGAAAAUAUUUUCCCUCUGCACCCCGUAAAUAUACAUCUAUUAUAAAAAGGGAAUGAGGAUGUUUAUAAAAAAAGACACUUUUUUCAAGAUAAUUAUUGAAUUAAUGUUUGUUGAUUUUUGAGGUAAUGCUUCACCUCAUAAUGUGCGCGUUGAUGGUAGAAUUGACUAAUGGAUAGAUUUAAGGGGGAAGAAAGGCUGAUCUUUAGCCAUAUGGGGGGAUGAAGGUGAUUUAGGAGGGGAUCAAAGGUAGGCGGGGUUGAUUGUGUGUGUGUAUGGUUAGAAUAAUAUCAAUGGAUUGUAUAUUGCAUAAAUUAGUGAUGUAUCGAAUCAAAGUUAUAUUCACGGAUUAGCAUCUACAUUUCAGGUAGCCGGACUUUAUGGAGAUAGUGGACUAUAUGGAGACAACCAAUCAAAUUACACUGCCUCAGGUGUCCACAAGGUUUCCCAAAAUUUCCCUGUGAGAUUAAAUUCCCAAAGUUUCAUCGUCGAAGUGACUUCAGACUAUGAUAUUUCUAAUUAGUUUAUAGUCUGUUUUUUUGUUAAAAUUGAUUUACCUUUUUAUUAUUACGAAUUAUGUAUAUAUAUUAAAUCAAAUA
rnacentral:lncRNA from 1 species